UUUAAAAAUCCCCUGUUUCUCUUUUGUAUUUUUUUUUUCUCCUUUCCUUUACUUUGUCCUCCCUCCUCUAUUUCUUCCUUCUCUCUCCUGCCCCUAUGUCGUUAGUUUGCAGUUUACGGUGGGUCGUAUUACUAGGUUCUUGAAGGCAGGCAAGUAUGUUGAGCGUGUUGGUCCCGGCGCUCCUGUCUACCUCGCUGCUGUUCUUGAAUAUCUUGCAGCUGAGGAUUGGCAUGAAAGCUCCAUGAAAUCCAUAUGGGACUCAGCAUGGCAACGUGAUUUUGGCAACUGGCUCACUGGUAAACUUUUUGGUGUCAAUUAUAUAAGCCUAUGAAGGUAGACAAAUACUUUAUAUAUAACAGUCGUAUAAUUAUAAUGUACCAAAGUGCAAAAUUUACCUUCUUUGGACAUGCUUGUAUCUUCAUUGUGGACAAAAGUGAUUAUCCAUCCAUCAUCUUCUUCA